rnacentral:rRNA from 1 species
GAUGAACGCUGGCGGCGUGCCUAAUACAUGCAAGUCGAGCGAACGGACGAUAAUCUUUCUUCUCUGAUGUUAGCGGCUGACGUGUGAGUAACACGUGUAUAACCUACCUAUAAUACUGGUAUAACUUCGGGAAACCGUAUCUAAUACCGGAUAAUAUUUUGAUCCUCAUUGUUCAAUAUUUAAAGACGGUCUUUCUGUCUCUUAUAGAUGUUUCCUCGCUGCAUUAGCUAUUUGGUAAGGUAACGUCUUACCAAGGCAACGAUGCAUAGCCGACAUGAGAGGGUGAGCGGCCACACUGGAACUGAGACACGGUCGAGACUACUACGGGAGGCAGCAGUAGGGAAUAUUCCGCAAUGGGCGAAAGCAUGACGGAGCAAAACCGAGUGAGAGAUGAAGGUCUAGGGAUCGUAAAACUAUGUUAUUAGGGAAGAAAAUAUGUGUAAGUAACAGUGCACAUAUUGACGGUAACUAAAAAGAAAGCAACGGCUAACUACGUG